GACGAACGCUGGCGGCGUGCCUAAUACAUGCGAGUCGAGCGGACUUUCAAGAAGCUUGCUUUUUGAAAGUUAGCGGCGGACGGGUGAGUAACACGUGGGCAACCUGCCUGCAAGACGGGGAUAACUCCGGGAAACCGGGGCUAAUACCGGAUAAUAUCUUCCUUCGCAUGAAGGAAGGUUGAAAGGCGGCGCAAGCUGCCGCUUGCAGAUGGGCCCGCGGCGCAUUAGCUAGUUGGUGAGGUAACGGCUCACCAAGGCGACGAUGCGUAGCCGACCUGAGGGGGUGAUCGGCCACACUGGGACUGAGACACGGCCCAGACUCCUACGGGGGGCAGCAGUAGGGAAUCUUCCGCAAUGGACGAAAGUCUGACGGAGCAACGCCGCGUGAGCGAAGAAGGUCUUCGGAUCGUAAAGCUCUGUUGUCAGGGAAGAACAAGUACCGUUCGAACAGGGCGGUACCUUGACGGUACCUGACCAGAAAGCCGCGGCUAACUACGUG
rnacentral:rRNA from 1 species